GCCCUUCCCCUCCCUGGCGUUCUCCCCAGUCCCCUCCCCUUCCCCGCAGCUGCUCCCCAGUCCCCUCCCCUACGCAUGGAAGGGACUAUCAGACCAUCAAGCCGACUCAGAACAGCUUGAACAGCUUGGCUUUGCUUGUAGUUAAGUACAGUACGGGCAGAAACACAUUUGAUCUUAAAUCGCUGAUGGAAACCAUUUCUACUCCAAAUCAAUUGGACACUACGCAUUGGUGAUGGAAGCCUCUAGCAAACAUCAUUGCCCAGCACCAGUUGCUUCGCUGUUCUGUGGUGGCUUGAAGGAUGUUUGCCGGUUAUCUCUGCCCGAGGGCCCUGCACUAACAUUGCUAAUCAUGCCGCGAUGUCAACUCCACCUAACACAAGAUGUUGCUCGUCUAGGGCUGCAUCGGCCAAUGCCUGAGAAGCACCUCUAGGAUAUGAUUGCAUCAGCCACAAGUGUUGACACAAAAUCGCCUAAUUGAGGACACUGACCAUGAGGGGCUCACGGCUGAGGUAUUUGGUUGGAGCAGACAAUAUCGUCUUGGAAUAAAUGGCCUGUCUAGCAUUGUACCCAAAUCAUAAAAUCUAGAAACUAUUUUUUUCUUCUGAAACAAUUUUUUAUUCCCAAACAAUUUUUUUAUUGCUGGAACAAUUAAAAAAUUAUUUCGAAACAAUUUUUUUUG